rnacentral:rRNA from 1 species
UACGUAGGGUGCGAGCGUUAAUCGGAAUUACUGGGCGUAAAGCGUGCGCAGGCGGCGCGUUAAGACAGGUGUGAAAGCCCCCGAGCUUAACCUGGGAAUUGCGCUUGUGACUGGCGUGCUGGAGUGUGGCAGAGGGAGGUGGAAUUCCACGUGUAGCAGUGAAAUGCGUAGAGAUGUGGAGGAACACCGAUGGCGAAGGCAGCCUCCUGGGCCAGCACUGACGCUCAUGCACGAAAGCGUGGGGAGCAAACAGG